AAUACAUGCAAGUCGAACGAAACUUCUUUAUCACCGAGUGCUUGCACUCACCGAUAAAGAGUUGAGUGGCGAACGGGUGAGUAACACGUGGGCAACCUGCCCAAAAGAGGGGGAUAACACUUGGAAACAGGUGCUAAUACCGCAUAACCAUAGUUACCGCAUGGUAACUAUGUAAAAGGUGGCUAUGCUACCGCUUUUGGAUGGGCCCGCGGCGCAUUAGCUAGUUGGUGGGGUAAAGGCUUACCAAGGCAAUGAUGCGUAGCCGAACUGAGAGGUUGAUCGGCCACAUUGGGACUGAGACACGGCCCAAACUCCUACGGGAGGCAGCAGUAGGGAAUCUUCCACAAUGGGCGAAAGCCUGAUGGAGCAACGCCGCGUGGGUGAAGAAGGUCUUCGGAUCGUAAAACCCUGUUGUUAGAGAAGAAAGUGCGUGAGAGUAACUGUUCACGUUUCGACGGUAUCUAACCAGAAAGCCACGGCUAACUACGUGCCAGCAGCCGCGGUAAUACGUAGGUGGCAAGCGUUAUCCGGAUUUAUUGGGCGUAAAGGGAACGCAGGCGGUCUUUUAAGUCUGAUGUGAAAGCCUUCGGCUUAACCGGAGUAGUGCAUUGGAAACUGGGAGACUUGAGUGCAGAAGAGGAGAGUGGAACUCCAUGUGUAGCGGUGAAAUGCGUAGAUAUAUGGAAGAACACCAGUGGCGAAAGCGGCUCUCUGGUCUGUAACUGACGCUGAGGUUCGAAAGCGUGGGUAGCAAACAGGAUUAGAUACCCUGGUAGUCCACGCCGUAAACGAUGAAUGCUAAGUGUUGGAGGGUUUCCGCCCUUCAGUGCUGCAGCUAACGCAAUAAGCAUUCCGCCUGGGGAGUACGACCGCAAGGUUGAAACUCAAAGGAAUUGACGGGGGCCCGCACAAGCGGUGGAGCAUGUGGUUUAAUUCGAAGCAACGCGAAGAACCUUACCAGGUCUUGACAUCUUUUGACAAUCCUAGAGAUAGGACUUUCCCUUCGGGGACAAAAUGACAGGUGGUGCAUGGUUGUCGUCAGCUCGUGUCGUGAGAUGUUGGGUUAAGUCCCGCAACGAGCGCAACCCUUAUUGUUAGUUGCCAGCAUUAAGUUGGGCACUCUAGCAAGACUGCCGGUGACAAACCGGAGGAAGGUGGGGAUGACGUCAAAUCAUCAUGCCCCUUAUGACCUGGGCUACACACGUGCUACAAUGGACGGUACAACGAGUCGCAAGACCGCGAGGUUUAGCAAAUCUCUUAAAGCCGUUCUCAGUUCGGAUUGUAGGCUGCAACUCGCCUACAUGAAGUCGGAAUCGCUAGUAAUCGCGGAUCAGCAUGCGCGGGUGGAAAUACGUUCCCGGGCCUUGUACACACCGCCCGUCACACCAUGAGAGUUUGUAACACCCAAAGCCGGUGGGGUAACCUUUUGGAGCCAGC
rnacentral:rRNA from 1 species